CCAGCCUGUGCCUUUGUGGCCUCUUGGGCUGGGUUGCAAUCUCAUGCCAACCCGCUUGCCGGUUGUCAGGAGGCCUCUGGGGAGGACGCUGCAGGAGCCUCAAACGCCACCUACUCCCGGCCUCUCUCCCGGUUGAUGUUUCUAUUUUGGGUACCACAUUAUUUCCUGCUGUGAUUUUUUUUUCAGGCUUCUAAUUCGGGCUCUGAGCAAUGGGAGUUGAACACUUCCGUGUCCGAGGUCUGUUUAACUAUGUUUGGACAAUGACCCUUUAGAGAUGCUGAUGAAGGCUACACAGAAUCCCAGAAACUAUCCACAACAAACUCAUAGCAGACAAAAUGGUAAAGCUCCCGGGAGCCUCACCCAUCCCAGUCCUUGGAGGUGACUUUAGCUGAGACUUCUAGCAGUAAGGAUAUGGAGCCUGUUGUGCUUGUAGCCAGGAGCCUAGCAUAACUCCUCUGAGAGCUACCCAGCAGCUGACUGAAACAGAUGCUGAGACCCACAGUCAAACAUUAGAUGGAGCUUGGGGACCCUUGUGGAAGAGUUGGGGGAAGGACUGCAGGCCCUGAAGGAAAUAGGAACUCUACAAGAAGACCAACAAAGUCAACUAACCUGGACCACUAGGGGCUCCCAGAAACUGAACCAUCAACCAAAGA
rnacentral:lncRNA from 1 species